GACGAACGCUGGCGGCGUGCCUAAUACAUGCAAGUUGAGCGCUGAAGGUUGGUACUUGUACCGACUGGAUGAGCAGCGAACGGGUGAGUAACGCGUGGGGAAUCUGCCUUUGAGCGGGGGACAACAUUUGGAAACGAAUGCUAAUACCGCAUAAAAACUUUAAACACAAGUUUUAAGUUUGAAAGAUGCAAUUGCAUCACUCAAAGAUGAUCCCGCGUUGUAUUAGCUAGUUGGUGAGGUAAAGGCUCACCAAGGCAAUGAUACAUAGCCGACCUGAGAGGGUGAUCGGCCACAUUGGGACUGGGACACGGCCCAAACUCCUACGGGAGGCAGCAGUAGGGAAUCUUCGGCAAUGGACGAAAGUCUGACCGAGCAACGCCGCGUGAGUGGAGAAGGUUUUCGGAUCGUAAAACUCUGUUGGUAGAGAAGAAAGUUGGUGAGAGUGGAAAGCUCAUCAAGUGACGGUAACUACCCAGAAAGGGACGGCUAACUACGUG
rnacentral:rRNA from 1 species